GACGAACGCUGGCGGCGUGCUUAACACAUGCAAGUGGAGCGACGAACCAGAGCUUGCUCUGGGGCAGAGCCGCGAACGGGUGAGUAACACGUGGGUAACCUGCCCUGAUGACCGGAACAACCCGAGGAAACUCGAGCUAAUACCGGAUGAAUUCACGUGACAUAAGUCGUGUGAGAAAAGGUAGCUUCGGCUUCCGCAUUGGGAUGGGCCCGCGGCCCAUUAGCUUGUUGGUGAGGUAACGGCUCACCAAGGCGACGAUGGGUAGCUGGUCUGAGAGGACGAUCAGCCACACUGGGACUGAGACACGGCCCAGACUCCUACGGGAGGCAG
rnacentral:rRNA from 1 species